rnacentral:rRNA from 1 species
ACUGAGACACGGCCCUUACUCCUACGGGAGGCAGCAGUGGGGAAUAUUGGACAAUGGACCAAAAGUCUGAUCCAGCAAUUCUGUGUGCACGAUGAAGGUCUUCGGAUCGUAAAGUGCUUUCAGUAGGGAAGAAAAAAUGACGGUACCUACAGAAGAAGCGACGGCUAAAUACGUGCCAGCAGCCGCGGUAAUACGUAUGUCGCAAGCGUUAUCCGGAAUUAUUGGGCGUAAAGCGCGUCUAGGCGGUCUUUUAAGUCUGAUGUGAAAAUGCGGGGCUCAACUCCGUAUUGCGUUGGAAACUGGAAGACUAGAGUAUCAGAGAGGUGGGCGGAACUACAAGUGUAGAGGUGAAAUUCGUAGAUAUUUGUAGGAAUGCCGAUUGGGAAGCCAGCUCACUGGAUGAAUACUGACGCUGAAGCGCGAAAGCGUGGGGAGCAAACGGGAUUAGAUACCCCGGUAGUCCACGCCGUAAACGAUGAUCACUAAGUGUGGGGGGUCGAACCUCCGUGCUCAAGCUAACGCGAUAAGUGAUCCGCCUGGGGAGUACGCACGCAGGUGUGAGACUCAAAGGAAUUGACGGGGACCCGCACAAGCGGUGGAGCAUGUGGUUUAAUUCGACGCAACGCGAGGAACCUUACCAGCCCUUGACAUCCUCAGAAUCCAGAAGAGAUUUUGGAGUGCCACUUCGGUGGAACUGAGUGACAGGUGGUGCAUGGCUGUCGUCAGCUCGUGUCGUGAGAUGUUGGGUUAAGUCCCGCAACGAGCGCAACCCCUUUCGUAUGUUACCAUCAUUAAGUUGGGGACUCAUGCGAUACUGCCAGUGACAAACUGGAGGAAGGUGGGGAUGACGUCAAGUCAUCAUGCCCCUUAUGGGCUGGGCUACACACGUGCUACAAUGGGCGAUACAGAGAGUUGCAAUACCGCGAGGUGGAGCUAAUCUCAGAAAGUCGUUCUUAGUUCGGAUCGCAGUCUGCAACUCGACUGCGUGAAGUUGGAAUCGCUAGUAAUCGCGAAUCAGCAAUGUCGCGGUGAAUACGUUCUCGGGUCUUGUACACACCGCCCGUCACACCACGAGAGUUGGUUGCACCUGAAGUAGCAGGCCUAACCCCUUUGGGGAGGGAUGUUCCUAAGGUGUGAUUGGCGAUUGGGGUGAAGUCGUAACAAGGUAUCCGUACGGGAUCGUGCGGAUG